UUCAGGUGUUGUUGCUGGUGGUGGUCGUAUUGACAAGCCUAUCUUAAAGGCAGGCCGUGCCUACCACAAAUACAAGGCUAAGAGGAAUUGCUGGCCACGUGUCCGUGGUGUGGCUAUGAAUCCUGUUGAACAUCCAUUUGGUGGUGGUAACCAUCAGCACAUUGGUAAACCUUCAACCAUUAGGAGAGAUGCUCCAGCAGGUCGUAAAGUAGGUCUUAUUGCAGCACGUCGUACCGGAAGGUUGCGUGGUACAAAGACCGUCCAGGAAAAAGAGAACUAAAUUUUUUCAUUGCUUACUUGACUUAUUAAAAUUAUUUAAAAGGAAAA